AAAGAAAAUCCGUUGGCUUUAUUGACCGUGAGGGUUCAAGUCCCUCUACCCCCA
rnacentral:tRNA from 33 species